GACGUAGGGCGCGAGCGUUGUCCGGAUUUAUUGGGCGUAAAGAGCUCGUAGGCGGCUUGUCGCGUCGACUGUGAAAUCCCGCGGCUCAACUGCGGGUCUGCAGUCGAUACGGGCAGGCUAGAGUUCGGUAGGGGAGACUGGAAUUCCUGGUGUAGCGGUGAAAUGCGCAGAUAUCAGGAGGAACACCGAUGGCGAAGGCAGGUCUCUGGGCAUUAACUGACGCUGAGGAGCGAAAAGCAUGGGGAGCGAACAGG
rnacentral:rRNA from 1 species